rnacentral:rRNA from 1 species
GACGAACGCUGGCGGCGUGCCUAAUACAUGCAAGUCGAGCGCAGGAAAUCGACGGAACCCUUCGGGGGGAAGUCGACGGAAUGAGCGGCGGACGGGUGAGUAACACGUAAAGAACCUGCCCUCAGGUCUGGGAUAACCACGAGAAAUCGGGGCUAAUACCGGAUGGGUCAUCGGACCGCAUGGUCCGAGGAUGAAAGGCGCUUCGGCGUCGCCUGGGGAUGGAUUUGCGGUGCAUUAGCUAGUUGGUGGGGUAAUGGCGCACCAAGGCGACGGUGCAUAGUCGACCUGAGAGGGUGAUCGGCCACACUGGGACUGAGACACGGCCCAGACUCCUACGGCAGGCAGAAGUAGGGAAUCGUCCACAAUGGACGAAAGUCUGAUGGAGCAACGCCGCGUGAACGAUGAAGGCCUUCGGGUCGUAAAGGUCUGUUGUAAGGGAAGAACAAGUGCCGCAGGCAAUGGCGGCACCUUGACGGUACCUUGCGAGAAAGCCACGGCUAACUACGUGCCAGCCGCCGCCGUAA